rnacentral:rRNA from 1 species
AUGGCGUCCCCGGCGGAUGCCCUAUCGGCGACGGGUGGCGGAGUUAGGGAUGUAAAUCCCAGGGAUCUGGGCGAUUUUUUUGAUCUGCUUGACCUUGAAGGAGAAGAGUUCGAGGACCUGGUGGUUGAUGAGGAUGAUCCCAAGAUCAAUGAUAGUGUGCGAUGGCUUGCUCUGGCUAGGGUUCACACUGCAAAGAACUUUAGUCAGGCGAUAUUCUUCAGAGAUAUGCAUGCGACGUGGAAUACGGCGCAACAAGUUCGAUUCAGGCCGGUGGGCAAAAAUCUCUUCAUGGUUCAGGCAUCAUGCCUUGGCGAUUGGGAGAGGAUCAUGGAGAAGGGACCCUGGUUAUUCAGGAACUUGGAUGUACUGUUGCAGCCGUAUGAUGGCUUCAGCAAAACAGAGGAGAUUGAGAUUUUCCAUAUGCCGAUUUGGCUACAAAUCCACAAGCUACCAGACGGUUACUGUAAGAACAAUCUGGUGGAGAAGUUGAUCAAGAAGGCAGGAGAGGUAUUAGAGAUUCGGCUGCAAGGAAAUUCACGCGGUGAUUACAUCAGAGUUCGGGUUCGUCAUGAUGUUCGGGAACCUUUAACCAAACAUGUCAGUAUUGUGAGAGGGAAGGAAAGAUAG